rnacentral:rRNA from 1 species
CUUGGGUGACGAGUGGCGGACGGGUGAGUAAUGUCUGGGGAUCUGCCCGAUAGAGGGGGAUAACCACUGGAAACGGUGGCUAAUACCGCAUAACGUCGCAAGACCAAAGAGGGGGACCUUCGGGCCUCUCACUAUCGGAUGAACCCAGAUGGGAUUAGCUAGUAGGCGGGGUAAUGGCCCACCUAGGCGACGAUCCCUAGCUGGUCUGAGAGGAUGACCAGCCACACUGGAACUGAGACACGGUCCAGACUCCUACGGGAGGCAGCAGUGGGGAAUAUUGCACAAUGGGCGCAAGCCUGAUGCAGCCAUGCCGCGUGUAUGAAGAAGGCCUUCGGGUUGUAAAGUACUUUCAGCGGGGAGGAAGGCGAUGGGGUUAAUAACCCUGUCGAUUGACGUUACCCGCAGAAGAAGCACCGGCUAACUCCGUGCCAGCAGCCGCGGUAAUACGGAGGGUGCAAGCGUUAAUCGGAAUUACUGGGCGUAAAGCGCACGCAGGCGGUCUGUUAAGUCAGAUGUGAAAUCCCCGGGCUUAACCUGGGAACUGCAUUGAAAC